ACCAUUUCACAUUGUUUAGUCCACCAUAGCUUUUAUUGUCAAUAAUUUAAUUAAUUCUACAAAUUAAUUAAAAUUAUUAAAUCUUACAUCAUAUUUCGUACUCAUUUCGCCUCAACAAGCGGUCCGUUCAAAACUAGGGAAGAAUAUUUUAAGGAACAAAAAAUUCAAAAUUGGUUAGAUACGUGCUGGUGAACGCUGCUCGCUUAGGCUCAACAGCUCCUUGUCGCUGCACCACGUCAUGGGGAGCUUAAACUGGACUACAGCAACAACGAACCAGGCGAUACUUCGUCCGGCGAUUGAACCCAGCUCGUCGAAUAGCCAGCCCCGAUGCUCCAGGUCCAGGAAUCUGCAUCCGGAGUUGAGAUAGGUCUAUCAACAGAAGUCGAUGUGCGCGACGUCAACUUCUUCCUGGAAUCGCGUCCAAGCAAGGGCCGCGGACAUUCCCUACCAUUUUAAUUCCGCAAGUUCAAUAUUUUUUGCAAUAUGGCUAAUAAAGUAAUAAUCAUUAGCACUCAUUCGUAAUAAUCUUUUUAAGGAUGUACUAAUUAUAAUAAAAUCUGCCUUGUAUUAUGUGCCUUCUGUUCCACAUCUAAUACUGUGCAGGUUUUGUAAACCUUAGUCCAUAGACCGGAUUGUUGGACUUCAAAAUUCUCAGGUAUGUAUGAUUCUCCUUGAUAUUUUUCUUCACUGGUAAAACUAGCGGGCACUGAUAAACAAUACACAUGUAAUUUGGAAAAUUCAAGGGUGCGUAACGUAUUUCCUGGUGAGUGAUGUAGAACGUAUGUCCAUUUAUCCAAUAAAAACUUUAGAUUGCAGUGGUAACUUAACUACAAUAAAGAACGACUAUGACGACAUCGGUUAUAAUGACCUUAGAGCGAGGCCUCCGCCGGAGCUCUAUACAAACACCUAGAUGUAAUCAUACUCCGCUAACGACACUGGAUAAAGCGACCAAUAUCGUCGUAACUUAUCAGCUAUAACGAUCCAUCGCCGUAUUUGGUUUACUAAGUCUAAAUAUUAUUUUGGCCUUAGGGUAAUGUAAGAAGUCAUUAUGACAAGGAUUUAUUUUAUUACCUGCUGCGACAUUUCCCAAUUUCUCUGCUCUUUCUCAUUUAUCUCUUUUUGUAUUCGAUUUCAUUGCCAUUUUGUUUGCAAACUGACUAGUUUGUAGACUUAAACAUAUAAUAAAAUAUUAUUUUUGAUAAAAAAACAUAAUAAGGUCCCUUCAAUGUUGUUUGAAAUGUAUAAUUAUUAUAUUUAUUGACAGGAAUACUAAGAAAAUUAUAAAAUUAAAUAAAAUAUAUUUUUGUUAUCAUAUUGAGUGCCCAAUCUAACUACAGAAGGUUCUAGAGAAGUCAUCCUCCAACGCAUUGGAAAAAUUUACCAUCACUUUAGAAGAGAGAUGGCCAAAAGGAGUAUGCAACAGAAAUAUUACAAUGAAUUAAAUAACAAAUAAGUAUUAAAGUGCAGGUAAGCCGAAGCGGACAUGUUACUAUUAAAAAAAAGCACACUAUACAUUGGAGAUUAGAUAUCUCGAGUGUUGCAGAUGUGUUGUGUCUAUAACUCCUAUUGAUCGCCGAGGAAUUCAAACAAUGAAAGGGAAAAAAAAUGAAGAAAUCUGUACAGCGAUGUCAUCCGUCGAACGUGCCAUGGUUGGUACACUACACCCACUUGUAGCGGCUGCACUGCGUACAGAGUAGCGGUUACCAGCAUUGCUAUUUUGCAAACAGCGCUCGAUAUGGCCGUGCAGCUCGAUGCAACUAGGCUUUACUUAAAAAUGACCCUGACUUCAGACUCCAACCAAUCGAGUAUUUUCAGGAUGAAGUCGGUAAUCGUAAAAUAAAAAUAAUUGAAGGGACUAACGAGUUUUAUUUUAACUAUAUGAUAAUAUGUUACAGCCCCCAUGUGAUUGCCUCCUCAGUACUCAAGUUUCGACACCACUUCUGAAGUUUUUCUUAACCAUUUCAUAUGCUUUUAAUAUUAAAACAUACAUAAAUUUUCAUACUCUAAACAUAUAAACGGCUACUUGCCACCGGCCAUUUCAAUAUUUUGUUCAUCUCUGUCCUCUUAUGCUUAUUACAUAUAAUAACAUGAAUAUUAGUGACUAGUAAAUAAAAAAAUAAACAUUAUGUUUACCCAGUACCCUUACUUAUUCUUACCAUUGGCAAAAGAUAUAUAUAUAUAUAUAUAUACCCAUACCUACAGUAUUAUGAUUCGUUUAUUUGUUACAGAUAAUAAUAAAACCACCAAACCGUCUCGAUAAAGAAACAAUCAAUUUUCGCACUUUGCCGAACUUUUAAAACACAAGAAAAAAUUCAAACCUUAAAUCUAAGUCUGAGGAGUGUCAGCGCACAUAACAACGAGACAAUCAAUUCACGGCUUUCGACGAAUUUCAAACAGAUGAAAAAAAUCUUAAAUCUAAAUUUGAAGAAUUUAGUAACCCAUUAACACCUAAUGGUAAUGAUGAUCAGCAUUACAUCAACGAUUCACAGAAAAGAAGUUAAUCAAUCAUGGAGAUAUUCAUCCACCUUUGUCACCAAAUCCACCCCCACCAGAUAGUCCACCGACUCUUACAUCGAAAAAAGAAAUAAAAGAUGAUGAUAAUGGUGAUGGCGAAGAUUAUAGUGAAUUAGUUUAAUACGUCCGAUAUGUCGUACCAUACUAAAGAACCUGAAGAGAUGGUGACUGACUUCAAAAAUAGUCAGUCUAAAGAAGAAAAAGCAAAGGAUGGAGAAGAAAUUAUGUACCGAAAUUUUAUACGCGGCACUUGUAAGAGGAGCGCGUCGUGUAUAUUCGUCCACAAAGUGAUAUUAUCACAGUUGGACAAUGUUUACAAAUUUUGUAAUGAUUUUCAAAACUCAGGAUGUAAAAGACGUAAUUGUAGAUUCGUUCACGCAACGGUAUUCGAAAGGGAAUCUUUUCGGAGAACAGCAUAUCUGCCGCCGCAUGCUUUUAGUCACCUAAAAGAAAAUAAUAAUAUUCAGACGCCGACUCCAGCUGAAGCUUCGUCCGUGAAUACAAUCCGGGCGCCUGACGGUAAUCAACCGCCUCCUCCAAAACUUGACAGGUCGCAACUCAUUAUUACUAAAACGAAAAAACUUAGGCAAAGUAAUGACUUGAACAACAAGAUAACUUAAAUUAACAGUAAGGCGCAGAGACUCUGGACGGUGUUAACUUCGAUUAUAAAGUCAGAGUCGCAGAAGUAAAAAAAUCUUAGCAACGGCAGUAGCUUCUUUAACAUAAAGGAGGAUACGAAACAGAUAAUAAUGGAAACACUAAUCGUCCCGAUAAAGAAACCAUCGAUGCGCACUCUGUCGGACUUUAAAACACCGCAAAAUGUCAAAUCUUAAAUCUAACUUUGAGGACUGGCAAUUAUUGAAUUAUCAUAAAUCAGUAAUAAACCACAUAUACAACUCGCCAGCUAGCAACUGGAGAAUAUUAAAACUAAAGCAGAGUAGUAAGCAUACGCUGCUUACUAUUCUGCUUUAGUUAGUAGUGAAGACUACCAAUAAUACCAAGAUAACUUUUGAAUCCCCAAAAUAUGAUGCAGAUGAUGGAUUGUGAUGACAUCUAAACUUGCGAGGACCGUCGGAAAUGAACUGCCCAUUGUAAUGAAUAAUACUUUAAAUACACCUGCGACACUUUAAAACACCAUGGACACAUUUUAUACCUCACUACUGAUCGCAACGGACCAGCUUCUCCAGUCUCCACAAACAUUUUGCGCAUCGCUAUUGGUA
rnacentral:misc_RNA from 1 species